AUUGAACGCUGGCGGCAGGCCUAACACAUGCAAGUCGAACGGCAGCACAGAAGAGCUUGCUCUUUGGGUGGCGAGUGGCGGACGGGUGAGUAAUGUCUGGGAAACUGCCCGAUGGAGGGGGAUAACUACUGGAAACGGUAGCUAAUACCGCAUAACGUCGCGAGACCAAAGUGGGGGACCUUCGGGCCUCACACCAUCGGAUGUGCCCAGAUGGGAUUAGCUAGUAGGUGGGGUAAUGGCUCACCUAGGCGACGAUCCCUAGCUGGUCUGAGAGGAUGACCAGCCACACUGGAACUGAGACACGGUCCAGACUCCUACGGGAGGCAGCAGUGGGGAAUAUUGCACAAUGGGCGCAAGCCUGAUGCAGCCAUGCCGCGUGUAUGAAGAAGGCCUUCGGGUUGUAAAGUACUUUCAGCGGGGAGGAAGGCGGUGAGGUUAAUAACCUCGCCGAUUGACGUUACCCGCAGAAGAAGCACCGGCUAACUCCGUGCCAGCCGCCGCCGUAA
rnacentral:rRNA from 1 species